GAUGAACGCUGGCGGCGUGCCUAAUACAUGCAAGUCGAGCGAACAGACGAGGAGCUUGCUCCUUUGACGUUAGCGGCGGACGGGUGAGUAACACGUAGGUAACCUACCUAUAAGACUGGGAUAACUUCGGGAAACCGGAGCUAAUACCGGAUAAUAUUUCGAACCGCAUGGUUCGAUAGUGAAAGAUGGCUUUGCUAUCACUUAUAGAUGGACCUGCGCCGUAUUAGCUAGUUGGUAAGGUAACGGCUUACCAAGGCAACGAUACGUAGCCGACCUGAGAGGGUGAUCGGCCACACUGGAACUGAGACACGGUCCAGACUCCGACGGGAGGCAGCAGUAGGGAAUCUUCCGCAAUGGGCGAAAGCCUGACGGAGCAACGCCGCGUGAGUGAUGAAGGUCUUCGGAUCGUAAAACUCUGUUAUUAGGGAAGAACAAACGUGUAAGUAACGGUGCACGUCUUGACGGUACCUAAUCAGAAAGCCACGGCUAACUACGU
rnacentral:rRNA from 1 species